UCCCUGGUAGUAUAUCGGUUAGUACACGCGCUUGUCAUCUGUUUUGAAUUACUCUGUGCGCGCGAAAGCUGGGUUCGACUCCCAGCCAGGGAG